rnacentral:misc_RNA from 1 species
ACGCAACAACACGAUUCAGAAAUGGCGGUGAUGCCAGAAUGAUAGACGGUGUAGCACGUAAUAACGCGGAAUGGGUCUCGUGCAGGCCUCGUGCCCUUCGACCCGGUGUGACGGUGGCAAAUGACACAAGUCAAAGUGCACGGGGUUCGUCCUGAGUGUAAAAAUUUCGGAAUUCUGUCCUGGAAAUCCUGAGGAAGACGAGUGAAAAGUGUCGCGUGAACGUAAGGGGGGUGGGGGGCCUAAGCAGUCACCGAUUAAAAUUGAAUAAUUAUCAACAUUCGGGGGAGGGUUAAACAAUAUUUAUCGUCGAGUUGUGCAUUGUUCAAGUUUUUUUCUAUCUCCCGGAAUUUUUAUCAACUGCGUGGCAAAGUACCAAAACCUUCGCACUGCCUUUUGUAUACCGCUGCAUUUUCUCUACCAUUGUGCUGCACCGCUGUUAUUUGACGCUACUCCAAUCCGAAGAAUUGAAUUCUACCCCAAGAGUGAUCCCGGUUCGCCUCACUCUGUGACAAAAUCAUCGUGCGCCUGGUAAACAUCUGCCCUGGAAUUCUACCAACAAUAAUCAAGCGUGAUGCAAACGGAACUGAUGUAUCGGAAGGCGACGGUGAUGGGAACGCCUCAGGGCGCCGGGACGGCGCAGACCGGUCUCAUUGGAAAAAGGGAGUCAAAGGACUCCAGGGAAACGAUUCAUUCGGGACAUUUCAUGGUCUCGGACUUCGAGGCUGAGGCGCAGGACGAGGACGAACUGGCCGUUCCUGUACCGGAAGAAGAAGCUGCUAGACUAGCAAUAAUAGCGCCGCCGGGUUUCUCUUUGGAAAAAUUUGUAACGAGUUCUUCGACGAGUAAAACAUCUACACAGCAACUGAGCAUCGAGACUUCGCUGAACAAAUUAUUUCAGUGUAUGUCGCUCGCUUACAGACAGAAGUUGACAUCGCCAAAAUGGAACCGUUUCAAGGGAAUCAGACUGCGAUGGAAGGACAAAAUUCGUUUGAACAACGUAAUAUGGAGGUGUUGGCACAUGCAAUUUAUUCUGAAGCAAAACACUCUCGUCUGUCAGUUCGCUUCGCCCUUGGAUGUCGAUACCCACAACAAACCCGAGGCUGUCGUUUUGGAAGGGAAGUACUGGAAAAGAAAACUAGCGGCCGUCACUGCAGAGUACAAGAAAUGGCGUAUGUUUUAUCGCAACAAGAUACUUGGCUGGACAAACAAAGAUGGCAGCGAUAUGUCGGAAUCAAUGGACAUGCUAGAUUGGGACAACGGAUUGGGAAUCGCGGGUGGUUUCGGAGUCGGAAUGGGAAGUCUGUACGGUGUUACAGGCGGUGCGCUGGGAGGGGACAGUUUGCACAGUAUGAUGGUCGAUGAGGAUUACAUGGAGCUGAUGACUGAUACCUUGUUUUCCACAAUUAGCUCUAAUCAACCAUUUCACUUUCCUGAUCCCAGGGAAAUUGCCCGAGUGGCAAGUCUGGCUGACUUUAUUCAGCCUAGUCUCGGUCCACUGCAACCAAAUCUGGAUGAUUUCAUGGAUACUCUUGAGCCAUUGCAGGAGUUCUUUAACCAGAAGCUCCCUCCAGUUCCGGAAGAAGAUGAUAUGUUUCGUAGCGGUACUAUGAGCAAUACUUAUCCCGAGUUGGAGCUCAUGCCAUCGAUAACCCAGGUCAAUCAGAUUGGCCAUAUCUCUUCAAUGGACACUCAAUCGCCAUCGGGGACGACGGGUAUAGAACAACAGCAUAGCGGUACAGUGCAGAAUCUCCAGUAUACAGCAAAGACCUAUGACGAGCCGCAACAGCAACCGCAACAGUCUACAGCUUACAGAAAUAACAUAAGCAAUAUCUCUGAAAAUUACAACACCGUUCAACAAGGCUUUGACGCCACGCCGAGGCAAACCAGCCGAGGUAAAGGUAGACAAAGCAGAUCUACAACGAGAAACAACCAUUUGGUGCAACAAUCGCAGCAGCAAAAUGCUUAUCAACAACCUAGGCAGCAACAAAAUUUAGCAUAUCAGCAACCCACUUCCCAACAACAGCAACAGAACUAUUCUAUGGAUAUACAGGGUGUUCAAUUAAGCCCUGUGCCAAACCAAGCUACACUAACAUCCCUUAAUAAUCAAGUGGCUAAUACGAGCCAUAUUUCUCCCAUCACCAGUCAUGUACAAAAUUAUGCACAACCAAAUUCACCACCGCAAACCCAACAGCGGUCGAUCAGGCCCAUGCCACCAACCACAUCUGCUCCUAAGCCCUACAAAGCUGUUCAGCCCGUACAGGGCUACAAAUUUACCCUGCCUGCACAAAAGUUUACACCCCAACAGUGUAAAUUCAGCUCAUCGAGUUAUAAGAGUUCCUCUGCACAGCAGGUAUCUCCAAUGUCGACGACACUGCAAGCACAGUCGCAUGUACUAGGAAGUUCUUUCCAAUGCCGACCUCUUGGUAGUCUUGGACUGGACCCUACCGCCCCAGCACAGCAUCCUGCCAAGCUUUUACCUCGACCUACUCCAACUACUGGUGAAAAAGAAGAAGUUUUUGCAGUACCCAAGUAUCAGAUGAAGUCUAGAAAUCGUUCGCGUAGUAGCUCAUCUUUAGUGCCUCCGAGACUGAAUCCACCGCCUUUAGUAUCUGCAAUUAGUGAUCCCGCCCUCAAUUUAAACAACAACGUAUUGCUCGCUCAGUUACUCACCAAUAACACGUCCAGUCUUUACACAGUCACCAGUGGACCUGAUAAAGCAGCAUCUGUAAAUCAAACGAGUGGAGUAAAACACAUAUUGCCUAUGCCACCUCCACCACAAUCCCCGGCUCAAACCAGCAGCACAACUCUUCUCAUCACCACACCGGUUACCGUGCAAUCUAUUCAAGCAGCUCCUGUUCAGGUGCAGCAGCAGGCAAUGCAAACGAGCGGACAGCCGCUUCUAUUGAGUGCGAAUAGUCAGUCGCAGCAAUCGAUUGGCAGUCCAGGAUCCCCCAAAGAUAAUUCCAGCGCGCACAGUCCGCAAGGGUUAAACCUCAGCCCAUUGCACAGUCCCAUGAGUAUAGGUAGCCCAUUAUCCCCUGGUCGAGUUUAUGUCAAAGGAGACCCUGAGCGAGGACAGUAUAAAGAGCAGCGAAGAGUAGGACACAUCCACGCCGAGCAAAAACGGAGAUAUAAUAUUAAAAAUGGAUUCGAUAUGCUACAUAGCCUGAUUCCGCAGCUUAAUCAAAAUCCCAAUACAAAAUUGAGUAAAGCUGCCAUGCUGCAAAAAGGUGCUGAUUAUGUGAGGCAACUCAGGGCGGAGAGAAAUCAGCUCAAAGAUGAAAUGGAUAGUUUGAGACAGCAAAUAGAAUGCCUUAAUUCUUCGAUAAGCAAUUGUCAGUCUAUGCUUCCUGCCACUGGAGCCCCAGUUUCCAGACACAGGACGAGCAAGAUGAAGGAAAUGUUUGACGAUUACGUGAGAACGCGUACGCGUGAGAAUUGGAAGUUUUGGAUCUUCAGCAUUUUGCUUGAGCCGUUAAUGGUUUCUUUCAAUACUUCCGUAUCCACAGCGAGUAUAGAAGACUUAUACAGGAGUACGAUGCUUUGGGUGGAGCAACAUUGCUCUCUCGUCGAUCUCAGGCCAGCUGUUCUAAAUUCUCUACGAUACCUUUGCACGGCAACUGAAAUUCUGUCAGAUCCAAGCCGCCUACCAGAAGAGGCACUGGCAGCUGUUAAUCAAACCGAUCGGCAGCGUCCAAACCAGUGAUCAUCUGCUACUCAGAGAUGUAAUACUAAGCUGAUGAAAGAAAAAAGUAAAGCUCACACGCAUACAUUGUUUGAGCGGUACUGUGUAAGGAAUUCGGACCGUGAAAACCCUGCAAAGCACACUUACUUUCAUCGUAACAACCACGCCACAAAAUAUUUUGGCAAAUAUGAAGAAAGCUGUAGUAACGUGGUUUCGAUGUGGCAACAUCAUCUUUUCUACCCAUAUUGGAACAGCUCGUCACCGCUCUCAAAAAUCAAUGUAAGUAGAUUAAUAGAUUCGUUGCCAUUGUUUACGGGUAUUGCAGUGAUCGAAAAGAUUAAAAUAAAUCUUGAACAUUCACAAGGAGUAAAUAUUUGUGAGAUGUUCAGGAUUAUCUAUUUUAUAACGCAUGAAACAUACAUUAAGGUUUAUAAUACUUGAAGAUAUUGAUAACCCGAGGUAAAAAUGUAGAUUAAAUAUAAAAACCUUGAGGUUUUUUUGGUAUUUCGGUUGCUUGAACGAUCAACCAAUUUUUUCUAGCAGGUUAUUGUAAUGAUACGCUAUGUGUGACUGAAAAUUGUAUUUUUCCGUUGACAUAAUCUUGUACCCUAGAAACACCUUUGUGAAGAAUGAUGUAAAAAGAAUUGAUGUAGGGAUACAAUAAGCUUUUCGAGCAAUGUCUGAUUUUGGGACUGCCGUGCGAAAAAAAUGAAUUAAAGAUACGUGCCAUUAAAAAAAAAAAAAAAAAACUUUUAGAUACAAUUUUGAGGGAACCACACAACAGAGAAAUGCACAUGCGUAAAAGACAAUAUGAUCAGAGGUAAUGGCCAGUUACAUGUUUCAUGCGGUUAAUUCACUUUUUAUAGCUCGCGAAACAUAUAACUGAUCUAUAAUAUCGAUAUAAUUUUAUUAAAUGGUGUGAGUAUAGACGUCUUUUUAUAAAGCAAACUAUAUUCUCAUAAUUAUGCGAAUGAUGGGUCAAAUUUAGAUAUUACGUUACACAUAAUAUUAUGAACAGAAAAUAUUAACUACGUUUUGCCUGAUUUAGUUCACUACUAACACAGUGCUGAGAUACCCUUAUAAAACAAAUUUCAAAAUGUGCCUACAAAGCAAUUUCGCUAAAAAUAUUUUUGACACGAAAUGAUGAUUCGUAGGGUAAUGAAAUUGCUGGUUAUGCAUAACCAAGGUUUGCUCAUGAAUACAAAAAAUACGUAUAUUAAAUUGCUAAUCUUACGGAUAUGAAAUUUUUUAUUACAAAAUUUCAUGUGAUAAUGUACAAAUCAUUUAUUAUGGUUUAGUUGCUAGAUA